GAUGAACGCUGGCGGCGUGCCUAAUACAUGCAAGUCGAGCGAACAGACGAGGAGCUUGCUCCUUCGACGUUAGCGGCGGACGGGUGAGUAACACGUAGGUAACCUACCUAUAAGACUGGGAUAACUUCGGGAAACCGGAGCUAAUACCGGAUAAUAUUUCGAACCGCAUGGUUCGAUAGUGAAAGAUGGCUUUGCUAUCACUUAUAGAUGGACCUGCGCCGUAUUAGCUAGCUGGUAAGGUAACGGCUUACCAAGGCAACGAUACGUAGCCGACCUGAGAGGGUGAUCGGCCACACUGGAACUGAGACACGGUCCAGACUCCUACGGGAGGCAGCAGUAGGGAAUCUUCCGCAAUGGGCGAAAGCCUGACGGAGCAACGCCGCGUGAGUGAUGAAGGUCUUCGGAUCGUAAAACUCUGUUAUUAGGGAAGAACAAAAGUGUAAGUAACUGUGCACGUCUUGACGGUACCUAAUCAGAAAGCCACGGCUAACUACGUG
rnacentral:rRNA from 1 species